CCUCGGGCGGCACCAGUGGGGAAUAUUGCACAAUGGAGGAAACUCUGAUGCAGCAACGCCGCGUGGAGGAUGACACUUUUCGGAGCGUAAACUCCUUUUAUAUAGGAAGAAGAUGACGGUACUAUAUGAAUAAGCGCCGGCUAACUCCGUGCCAGCAGCCGCGGUAAUACGGAGGGCGCAAGCGUUACUCGGAAUCACUGGGCGUAAAGAGCGUGUAGGCGGAUUAAAAAGUCAGAAGUGAAAUCCUAUAGCUUAACUAUAGAACUGCUUCUGAAACUCUUAAUCUAGAAUAUGGGAGAGGUAGAUGGAAUUUCUGGUGUAGGGGUAAAAUCCGUAGAGAUCAGAAGGAAUACCGAUUGCGAAGGCGAUCUACUAGAACAUUAUUGACGCUGAGACGCGAAAGCGUGGGGAGCAAACAGGAUUAGAUACCCCGGUAGUC
rnacentral:rRNA from 1 species